CAAGCGAUCCUCCCACUUCAGCCUCCUGAGUAGUUGAGACCACAGUGCCCUUGGUGUGGUGGAAGCAAGGUGUCAUGUGAUAAGUAAGCCUCCAGAGAGGCCUGCAUGGCAGGAUCCAAUGUCUCUAGCCAACAGCCUCUGGGGACCUGAGACCUGCCAACACCCUUGUUAGUGAACCUGGAAGUGGACCUCCUGCUCUUGGACCUUGAGGUGACUAUAGUACUGGCUGACACCUUGACUGCAGUCCCUGAGCUGGGGUGUCCAACUGAGCUACUCUCAGAAUCCCCCCUACUGAAACAGUGAUAUAAUAAAUGCUUAUUGUUUCAAGCUGGUAAAUUUUGGAAUGCUUUGUUAUGCAGCAAAAGAUAACUAAUACA